ACCUGACCCAUCGAACGUG
rnacentral:misc_RNA from 1 species